rnacentral:rRNA from 1 species
GGCCGCGGUACCCUGACCGUGCAAAGGUAGCAUAAUCAUUUGCCUUAUAAUUGAAGGCUGGAAUGAAUGGUUUGACAAGAAUACACCUGUCUCUUUAUAACUUUCUAGAACUUUAUCUUUGGAUGAAAAAGUCCAAAUAUAAUUAAAAGACAAGAAGACCCUAUCGAGCUUUAGAAGAAUUAAUGGAUUUGAUAACAAUCAAUAGAAAUAAAAGAGAGCCAUUAGUAUACUUUGGUUGGGGCAACCAAGGAGUAGACUUUGCCUCCUUUAAACUUUAAGUCAUACAUGUGUUGAUCCAAAAUUAUUGAUCAAAGGAAUUAGUUACCGUAGGGAUAACAGCAUUAUCUUUUUUGAGAGCCCAUAUCGAAAAAAAGGUUUGUGACCUCGAUGUUGGACCAGAAUAUCCUAAAGAUGCA